rnacentral:lncRNA from 1 species
GGAUUAGUGUUCUUACAAUAUCCUUAGUGUGCAAGAUUAGUACCUAUCAAUGCAAACUUAACCGAAGAAGACUUGUAGCCUGGAAUGAGUAGCUAUUGAUGUGUGUGUGCUUUCUUUGUUUUAUUUCAAUUUGCUCGGAGUGCAAAAGUUCAAGUCCGGGGGAAUUUGAUAAGUGCAUAUUUAUGCACAAUUCUCCUACUUUUUACUUAGGCAUUUCUUUAUUUUAUUUUGUUUAUUUUUAUAUUUUAUUAUGUUUUCAUAUUUUAUUUUAUUUUUAGUUUAAUUUAAUUUUCGCACUUAUUUUUCAGCUUUAGCAGUUUGCGCGGAAACGAUCAUAACUGGAGUUCCGGGAAUCCGUUUGAGGCGUUCUAAAAAUCGUCGGAAAGCUAAGAG